UCGAGCGAGAAAAGGGGGGCAACUCCCUGAGUAAAGCGGCGCACGGGUGAGUAACACGUGGGUAAUCUGCCCUGGAGUGGGGAAUAACACCGGGAAACCGGUGCUAAUACCGCAUACGAUCACGGAGUCUGCGGAUUUUGUGAUGAAAGGAGCAAUUCGCUCUAGGAGGAGCCCGCGGCUGAUUAGCUAGUUGGUGAGGUAAUGGCUCACCAAGGCUACGAUCAGUAUCCGGUCUGAGAGGACGGUCGGACACACUGGAACUGAGACACGGUCCAGACUCCUACGGGAGGCAGCAGUGGGGAAUUUUUCGCAAUGGGGGCAACCCUGACGAAGCAACGCCGCGUGGGUGAUGAAGUCUCUUGGGACGUAAAACCCUUUCGACGGGGAAGAAACCGCAAGGUUGACGGUACCCGUAGAAGAAGCCCCGGCUAACUCCGUGCCAGCAGCCGCGGUAAUACGGGGGGGGCAAGCGUUGUUCGGAAUUACUGGGCGUAAAGGGUGCGUAGGCGGUUCGUUAAGUUAGAUGUGAAAACUCUGGGCUCAACCCAGAGCCUGCAUCUAAAACUGGCGGGCUAGAGUUCUGGAGGGGGUAGCGGAAUUCCUGGUGUAGCGGUGAAAUGCGUAGAUAUCAGGAGGAACACCGGUGGCGAAGGCGGCUACCUGGACAGAAACUGACGCUGAGGCACGAAAGCUAGGGGAGCAAACAGGAUUAGAUACCCUGGUAGUCCUAGCCCUAAACGAUGGAUACUUGGUGUGUCCGGGAUUGAAUCCGGGCGUGCCGAAGCUACGCAUUAAGUAUC
rnacentral:rRNA from 1 species